rnacentral:rRNA from 1 species
AGUUUGAUCCUGGCUCAGGACGAACGCUGGCGGCGUGCUUAACACAUGCAAGUCGAGCGGUAAGGCCCCUUCGGGGGUACACGAGCGGCGAACGGGUGAGUAACACGUGAGCAAUCUGCCCUUCACACGGGGAUAACCACCGGAAACGGUGGCUAAUACCCGAUACGACCACUUCAGGCAUCUGAUGGUGGUGGAAAGUUCCGGCGGUGGAGGAUGAGCUCGCGGCCUAUCAGCUUGUUGGUGGGGUAAUGGCCUACCAAGGCAACGACGGGUAGCCGGCCUGAGAGGGUGACCGGCCACACUGGGACUGAGACACGGCCCAGACUCCUACGGGAGGCAGCAGUGGGGAAUAUUGGACAAUGGGCGAAAGCCUGAUCCAGCAACGCCGCGUGAGGGAUGACGGCCUUCGGGUUGUAAACCUCUUUCAGCAGGGACGAAGCGCAAGUGACGGUACCUGCAGAAGAAGCACCGGCCAACUACGUGCCAGCAGCCGCGGUAAUACGUAGGGUGCGAGCGUUGUCCGGAAUUAUUGGGCGUAAAGGGCUCGUAGGCGGUUUGUCGCGUCGGGAGUGAAAACUCAGGGCUUAACCCUGAGCCUGCUUCCGAUACGGGCAGACUAGAGGUAUGCAGGGGAGAACGGAAUUCCUGGUGUAGCGGUGAAAUGCGCAGAUAUCAGGAGGAACACCGGUGGCGAAGGCGGUUCUCUGGGCAUUACCUGACGCUGAGGAGCGAAAGUGUGGGGAGCGAACAGGAUUAGAUACCCCCGUAGUCCA